rnacentral:rRNA from 1 species
UUGCAUAUUUCAUAAGCGGAGGAAAAGAAACCAACCGGGAUUGCCUUAGUAACGGCGAGUGAAGCGGCAAAAGCUCAAAUUUGAAAUCUGGUACCUUCGGUGCCCGAGUUGUAAUUUGGAGAGGGCAACUUUGGGGCCGUUCCUUGUCUAUGUUCCUUGGAACAGGACGUCAUAGAGGGUGAGAAUCCCGUGUGGCGAGGAGUGCGGUUCUUUGUAAAGUGCCUUCGAAGAGUCGAGUUGUUUGGGAAUGCAGCUCUAAGUGGGUGGUAAAUUCCAUCUAAAGCUAAAUAUUGGCGAGAGACCGAUAGCGAACAAGUACAGUGAUGGAAAGAUGAAAAGAACUUUGAAAAGAGAGUGAAAAAGUACGUGAAAUUGUUGAAAGGGAAGGGCAUUUGAUCAGACAUGGUGUUUUGUGCCCUCUGCUCCUUGUGGGUAGGGGAAUCUCGCAUUUCACUGGGCCAGCAUCAGUUUUGGUGGCAGGAUAAAUCCAUAGGAAUGUAGCUUGCCUCGGUAAGUAUUAUAGCCUGUGGGAAUACUGCCAGCUGGGACUGAGGACUGCGACGUAAGUCAAGGAUGCUGGCAUAAUGGUUAUAUGCCGCCCGUCUUGAACCCGGACCAA